AAGGAAAAAGAGAGUGAGUAACACAAGGAGAAACAGAGGAAACCUGUACUUACAGUACGCUGUGUUCAGCCCAGAGGUGGGAGCUAUUCAAAGCAAACUAACUGUGCUUUGUGUCCAAUCUGAUACCUGUGGAGAGAAAAGGAAAAAGAGAGUGAGUAACACAAGGAGAAACAGAGGAAACCUGUACUUACAGUACGUUGUGUCCAGCCCAGAGGUGAAAGCCAUCCAAAGCAGAGUAACUGUGUUUUGUGUCCAAGUUGAUACCUGUAGAGAGGAGGAGAGAGAGUGGAUAACGCGAGGAGAAAUAGAGCGAAACCUGUACUUACAGUACGCUGUGUCCAGCCCAGAGGUGAGAGCCAUUCAAAGCAAACUAACUGUGCUAUUGUGCCCAAGUUGAUACCUGUGGAGAGAAAAGGAGAGAGAGUGGGUAACACGAGGAGAGACCGAGGAAUCCUGUACUUACGCCGCUGCCUGUGGAGAAAGAGAAAGCGAGUGAGCACCCAAGGAACGAACUGUGUGAACCAGUACUUACUGUGAGCUGCAAUCAGCGAAGAGGUGAGAGCAAAACCAAGCCGAAUUAACUGUGCCUUUGCUUCCCAGCCGUUGCAUGUGGAGGAAGAGAAAGAGAGUGAGCACCCCGAGAACGAACUGUGUGAACCAGUACUUACCGUGAGUUGUAUUCAGCGAAGAGGAGGAAGAAGGAGGGCGCUACGGAUACCUAAGACUCUGGCCGGGCCCCGAGCCCCACGCCCCGGAUCCCCGUGGCCCCCUUGCUCCCUGACCUCUUCCCGGCCAUAGCCCAUCUGGAGGGCCGAGUCAGAGUUUAGUUUUAAUUGCCCUUUCCCUAUUCCCCAAGCUAUUUUUAAAUAUUUAAAUAAAGAUUGUUUUAUCACUUA